rnacentral:pre_miRNA from 1 species
UCUUCAUUUCACACACUAUCUCGCCUCUCUGACCGAUGAGAGAGUACGGGAAAUGAAGAGA